rnacentral:rRNA from 1 species
UACAGAGGUCUCAAGCGUUGUUCGGAUUCAUUGGGCGUAAAGGGUGUGUAGGUGGCGCCGUAAGUCAGGUGUGAAAUCUCGGGGCUUAACUCCGAAACUGCAUUUGAUACUGCGGUGCUUGAGGACUGGAGAGGAGACUGGAAUUCAUGGUGUAGCAGUGAAAUGCGUAGAUAUCAGGAGGAACACCGAUGGCGAAGGCAGGUCUCUGGGCUGACACUGACGCUCAUGCACGAAAGCGUGGGGAGCAAACAGG